rnacentral:rRNA from 1 species
GAUGAACGCUAGCGGGAGGCUUAACACAUGCAAGUCGAGGGGCAGCACGAGGUAGCAAUACUUUGGUGGCGACCGGCGCACGGGUGAGUAACGCGUAUGCAACCUACCCUGUACAGGGGGAUAACCCGGAGAAAUUCGGACUAAUACCCCAUAAAGAUAUUUAGAGGCAUCUUUGAAUAUUUAAAGUUCCGGCGGUACGGGAUGGGCAUGCGUAACAUUAGCUAGUUGGUAAGGUAACGGCUUAACAAGGCAACGAUGUUUAGGGGUCCUGAGAGGUUGAUCGCCCACACUGGGACUGGUACACGGACCAGACUCCUACGGGAGGCAGCAGUGAGGAAUAUUGGUCAAUGGGCGACAGCCUGAACCAGCCAUCCCGCGUGAAGGAAGAAUGCGCUAUGCGUUGUAAACUUCUUUUCCAGGGAGUGAAUUUUCCGGUCGUGACCGGAAUUGACGGUACCCUGGGAAUAAGCAUCGGCUAACUCCGUGCCAGCAGCCGCGGUAAAAC